rnacentral:rRNA from 1 species
GAACGCUGGCGGCGUGCCUAAUACAUGCAAGUCGAGCGAACAGACGAGGAGCUUGCUCCUCUGACGUUAGCGGCGGACGGGUGAGUAACACGUGGAUAACCUACCUAUAAGACUGGGAUAACUUCGGGAAACCGGUGCUAAUACCGGAUAAUAUAUUGAACCGCAUGGUUCAAUAGUGAAAGACGGUUUUGCUGUCACUUAUAGAUGGAUCCGCGCCGCAUUAGCUAGUUGGUAAGGUAACGGCUUACCAAGGCAACGAUGCGUAGCCGACCUGAGAGGGUGAUCGGCCACACUGGAACUGAGACACGGUCCAGACUCCUACGGGAGGCAGCAGUAGGGAAUCUUCCGCAAUGGGCGAAAGCCUGACGGAGCAACGCCGCGUGAGUGAUGAAGGUCUUCGGAUCGUAAAACUCUGUUAUUAGGGAAGAACAAAUGUGUAAGUAACUAUGCACGUCUUGACGGUACCUAAUCAGAAAGCCACGGCUAACUACGUG